ensembl:lncRNA
CUGUUUCAGUUUAUACAUUAAAAUGAAACUAUGAAAAGUUUGUUAAAAAGCUGUGAUGAGUUAGAGCUUUCAUGUAUAUUUCAUGUAGCAGAAACAUUUAGUGACACCUUAGCACUAGCAGUUGGCAAGUUUAAAGAUGAAGGGUCAUCUUUUAGUAACAAUUUUUGGUCUUUUCAGUGGUAACUGUGCUGAUCCUGCUGUGUGCACAUGCUCAGAAAGUUGAUGCAGUUUCUCUUCGUGUUGUUCCAAACAAAUCCCAGUUUUUUGAACAUGAGUCAGUUAGUUUUUACUGUGAGGAGAUCUCUCAUGGACAUGUGUUAUAUAAGAAGAACGAGGAAGUAAAGCUGUGCAACACAACCAGUAGGAAAACAACAGCUUCAACAACAGGUUCACAGUGCACCAUUGAUCGUAUUUAUACAAGUGACAGUGGAGAAUACUGGUGUGGGACAGCAGGAGGGAAGAGAAGCAACAAUAUCAACAUCACUGUCACUGAUGGUUCUGUGAUCCUGGAGACUCCUGCUGUUCCUGUGAUGGAGGGAGAAGCUGUGACUCUGCUCUGCAGAAACAAGAUGCCUUCCAUCGCAGCUGAUUUCUAUAAAUAUGGGCGUCAGAUAAGGAGUAGGCCAACAGGAAACAUGACCAUCCACAGAGUUUCCAAGUCUGAUGAAGGACUUUACAAGUGCAAGAUCUCAGGAGGUGGAGAAUCAUCAGAGAGCUGGCUGUCUGUCUCUGCGCCAUGUCUCACAGAUGGCUGCAAAGACAAUUGUCACUGUGCAGCUUCCACACCUUGGAUCAUUGCAACUAUUUCACUGAGCAGUAUGAUUGUGGUGGUGGCACUCUAUCUCUUCCGCAAAGAUUGGUACAGAGAUGAAGCUGAAUUGUGUCCUAAUCCAGUUUAUGAUUCCUUAGGCCAAGGUGACAGUCAGCCUCAAGCAGAAACAGCAAAACCCACUGUUGCACACAUGGCUUCACCAGGGAUCUACCAAUCUGCAGCAGAGGAUGCGUGAUAUUUUGCACUUAAAAACAUGCUCAUCACUAAGUGAAACUGAAAAACAGAGAAUGUUGCAUAUAAUUUUAUUUUUGCUUGAUGCAUAAAGUUAAAAGAUUAAAACUAAUAAAACAAGUUUUAAAAAGAGACUUUUCCAUUUGAUUACAUUUUGUAUGAUGAAUUAUGCAGAAAAAGUAGAAUUGGGCUGAACAAUCUAUUGCUUCAUUACCUAUUCAGGUUGUAAAUCGAGUCUUUAAAAAGUAACUAAGUAACGAAUUACUUUUGAAAAUAAGUAAUCAAUAAAGUAACUGGAUUACCUAUUGGGGGAAGUAGUCAUUAAUUAGAUACUGAUUUUUUUUUUCAAGUAACUUGACCAACACUGGUCAUGACUAUAGUGAACAGCAAACAUUAUCACUGAUGUUACUGUAGUUACCUCUCUCUGUAUCUUUCCAGCAGAAGAUGAAUGUGGACUGUCCUCUGGACCCAUAACUAGACUUUAGGCCUAUAUGACACUCAACUCUGAUUAAAAAAAUAUUUUAAUAGUGACAUUGACAUUAAGCAACAUUAGAAAAAUUGCCAAGUACGUUGCAACAAAGUGAAAAUAAGUGUUUUAUUAAGUAAAAAUUUGGCAUCCAACUGAUUUAAUUCCACCUGUUGUCACAGCAGAACCAUAAACAAUCGCAGAGAUACCCUCAGUGGGUACCUACCAACCCAUAGCAGAAAAUCACUCAUUGACGCACAGCAGAUGCUCUGAGAACUAAUGUUUAAAAUAAAGAGCACGUUGUUGUGUGAUAUGCUGAAAAGCAAAUAUUUUCUUUUCAUUUUGUUCUAUACAUCCUUUAUGCCUUACAGUGAGCAGAAGUUUAUCCUGCUUGUACUUGAACAAGCAGGAUCAUAAAUAUUUUGUACUUGUAAAUUAGUUUUAUACUUGUAAAUCAGGAUUUGUAUGUGCAAAAAGAAUUUGUUUGUGUAAAAAAGAUUUGUGUGUGGACAUAAAAUACGUGUGAAACUGCAAUAAAGUUCCAAGUUCCAAGUAUGAAUUUUGACCCUAUUUUUCUUCCUUUCAGCUGAUUGAUCAAUGGCAUGUCAAUCAUGACUCUAAACGCUUCCUGUAGGAAAAUGCCCCUUAUUUCAACUUAAACACAAAAUCCCCCCUUUUUGACACAUUCUACAUGUCAAAUAAGCUAAAGACCUGCUAGUGAAACUGAAAAUUCCUCCAUUUGACCUUA